rnacentral:rRNA from 1 species
UCCUACGGGAGGCAGCAGUGGGGAAUUUUGGACAAUGGGCGAAAGCCUGAUCCAGCCAUACCGCGUGAGUGAAGAAGGCCUUCGGGUUGUAAAGCUCUUUCAGCCGGAAAGAAAUUGCUUCUAUUAAUACUAGGAGUAGAUGACGGUACCGGAAGAAGAAGCACCGGCUAACUACGUGCCAGCAGCCGCGGUAAUACGUAGGGUGCGAGCGUUAAUCGGAAUUACUGGGCGUAAAGCGUGCGCAGGCGGUUUUUUAAGCCAGAUGUGAAAUCCCCGGGCUCAACCUGGGAACUGCAUUUGGAACUGGAAGACUAGAGUAUAGCAGAGGGGGGUAGAAUUCCACGUGUAGCAGUGAAAUGCGUAGAUAUGUGGAGGAAUACCAAUGGCGAAGGCAGCCCCCUGGGUUAAUACUGACGCUCAUGCACGAAAGCGUGGGGAGCAAACAGGAUUAGAUACCCUGGUAGUCCACGCCCUAAACGAUGUCAACUAGGUGUUGGGGGAGGAGACUUCCUUAGUACCGUAGCUAACGCGUGAAGUUGACCGCCUGGGGAGUACGGUCGCAAGAUUAAAACUCAAAUGAAUUGACGG